UACGUAGGUGGCAAGCGUUGUCCGGAUUUACUGGGCGUAAAGCGUGCGCAGGCGGUCUUGCAAGACAGAUGUGAAAUCCCCGGGCUUAACCUGGGAACUGCAUUUGUGACUGCAAGGCUGGAGUACGGUAGAGGGGGAUGGAAUUCCGCGUGUAGCAGUGAAAUGCGUAGAUAUGCGGAGGAACACCGAUGGCGAAGGCAAUCCCCUGGACCUGUACUGACGCUCAUGCACGAAAGCGUGGGGAGCAAACAGG
rnacentral:rRNA from 1 species